GACAUAGCUCAGUUGGUAGAACGUGAGACCUUUAAUCUCAGGGUCAUGGGUUUGCGCCCCAUGCUGGACA